ACUUUCCCGGGAUUUAGAACGCUUCCGUACUCGUUCCUUGUCCCGGGACCGCGA
rnacentral:miRNA from 1 species